rnacentral:rRNA from 1 species
UUCGUAGGGUGCGAGCGUUAAUCGGAAUUACUGGGCGUAAAGCGUGCGCAGGCGGUUCGUUGUGUCCGUCGUGAAAGCCCCGGGCUUAACCUGGGAACUGCGAUGGAAACUAGCGAGCUGGAGUGUGGCAGAGGGGGGUGGAAUUCCGCGUGUAGCAGUGAAAUGCGUAGAGAUGCGGAGGAACACCGAUGGCGAAGGCAGCCCCCUGGGCUAACACUGACGCUCAGGCACGAAAGCGUGGGGAGCAGACAGG